AGUCCCUGUUCAGCAUGGUGUGUUCCUGCUCAACGAGUUGCCUGCAGCACCUUCUCAUCCCUUCCAAGAGCUGAGCCUCUUCAUGCAGGCUAUUUUGGGCUUGCUGUGAAGUUCUCAGUGUACUUUCUCAGCCAGAGCAGCAUUGUGAGCUCCUUCUGGAGUCAUGAAAUUUAACGAAGAGCUAGUCCCAGGAAGAGGCAUCAGGAUCUUAAGGAAUUUCUGGAAUAUUCAAGCUGAGUGUUCUUAUUAGUGCACGGUUGAAAAAUGCCACUGCGUAAACAUACAUCACUGAUCUAUUUCUGUAGUGAAGCAAUAGCCUAGUUCUCUUUUUUUUUUUCCUCUGGAGUUUCCACCAGAAUAACUCAGUUGUUUUCGCUGGGAUUGUCGUUGAUUCAAACCACUAUGGGAAAAACCAAAACUGGAGUCUAAUUUCUAUGUGGAUGUAAAGAGUCUCCUCUCCUUAGCACAUAUUCCCAGAAAAACAUAGGGGGCAGGAAAAAAAAUUCUGAAAGAUGAUGUGGAAGUGUGGGAUAACACACUCAGAUUUCUCUGCAUAGAAAAGUCAGUAUAGUAUGAAACAUACAGGUGUAAGAAAAGAAAAUAUGUGGGAAGGGUUUAAAGAGUUUUGUCACUUGUUUGGUUGGGGCUUUUUUCUGGGUUUUGCUGGUUUUUGCAGAAAUGCACAGUCCUGCAGUUCCUCAAGUCCUCAAGACUGUUACUACUUGAACCUACUGAAAGCUGAGCAGUUUGGUGAAAGAAAGAUUUGUACACACUGCAAAAUUUUCUCUAUGUUGUUGUUCUCUCUAGCCUAAUCCUAGGGAAUGUUUGAUUGAAAGGCUGUACUUGAUUAAAUGUAAGCAUUUUUUCAGAGAACCCAUGAAAAAAAGUCAUCUGGGAAGGGAAAAAAAUGACUGAUUUUAUUUUUUUUUUAUCUCAUUAAAUUUAAAAUUCAAGAACAAACCAGGAAAAGAUUAUUUGGAUCUUCGUGGAUCAUAGUAAAUCACCAUAAUGAAAAAAAACCCCUAUACCUCACAUUUAGUAUUUGAAAAGUCUUUCAGGUUUGCUUUUGGGGAAAAUGCUCCACGUGCAGUCACAUGUGAGGUCAAUUGACAAUUCCGACUUCUCAGCAUGGACUGAUAUGUUACUUUUUUGUAUUGUUAACACAGCAGUCUUCUGAGCGUGUGCAUACCCCCAAACAGAUACUUUUUGCUACCAUUUGAAAAGGGAACAGGUAUUUUCCAGAAGAAUCAGAUGUCUUUGUUUUGCCCCCGAAUUAUAGUUCACUAUUAAGGAAUAGUCUCAAUGCUUCAAAUGUCUUUUAUGCUUGAAUUAGACCUGAAGUCCUUGGGGGAGAGUUGAGAAGGAAAGGAGAUGGUAAUUUUAAAUUUCUACGUGACUUAAUCUUGUGUUUGUUUGCUCAGUAUUAAAAUCCUAAGUAAAAGUCCAUGCUUUAGCGUUAACACAUGAGAAUGUUUUGCAGAUGUAGAAACUUGAAGUCAGACCUGAUAGCACUGUGUUGCCCUGGUACUUUUAUCUUGUCCCAUCUUUCCCCCUGUCUGCUACAUCUUAUUUUCAUAGCAAGGGCAGUUCCUUAAACUCUCUUGCUGUUUUUUUCAUCACCUGAUAGGCUAGAGCAGCGCACGUUGCUAUUUUUUUUUUCUCAGAAAUAUGUCCUUGAGUCUUGCUCCCUUGUCUGUGAACCAAAACCAAAGUAUGUUUUCUUCAGGAAUUGCUACCUUUCACACAAUGGUCCAGGAUACCAAAUUCCUAACUUUUUCCUUAAAAUUCAGAAAGCUUCAACAAGAACCAAGAAGCCUUGGUGGAGUGGGCAGAACAGUCCAGCUUAGGUCUCCAGGCCUGAC